AUGUGGCAACAAUUUUCUGAAAUAGUAGGAAUGAUGCCUAAGAGACAAGCAACCCCAGAGCAAGUAGAAACUUACAUGAACCAAGAGAGAUCCAAGAGGCGAGAGAUGCUGCAGAAAUUUCUGGACCACUGUCGCAACUUUCAGGUUAACGUCGAUGUGUACCUCAUCGAGAGUGAUCAAAUCGCUGAUGCGGUCGCUGAACUUAUCCCUGUUCUGAAUAUAAAGCAGCUAGUACUUGGGGUGGCAAAAUCCAACUUGCGGAAGUUGAAGAAAGGAAACACAAUAGCAGGACAGAUACAGAAGAAUGCACCUCUCUACUGCGAAGUCAAGAUUGUCUGUGAUGACAAGGAAGUCGCAGCGGCGACGACUGCUGAUCCGACACCACCAUUUUCACCUUCCCCUGUAAAUAACAACAGCAGAUCUCGCACCCCGACACCGCCAUCAUCUACGCCAAAUCACAAUAGCAUAGAGGCAGUUGAUGGCAAAAAUGAUAGCAAAACCAAAGAAAGAAGGAAGAUUCCCAAGUUUCUAAGGUGCCUGUCAUCCUGA
rnacentral:rRNA from 1 species